rnacentral:ncRNA from 2 species
AUAACUAACUAGGGGCGCAAUCUGCUGAGACGGUUUUAUCCGAACCCUUUGAACCUGUGAGCUAACACUCGCGAAGGAAAGUUAACGUAUAAUCAA